GCGAAAACUUACACACUGCAGGAAACUGUGAUGAGGGAACUCCUAGUGCAUGCACUAUGUGUAUGUAGAUCCUACUCUUAAUCAGUAGAGGGAAAGGGCUGGGAAAGACCGGUGCCAGCCGCCGCGGUAAUACCGGCAGCUCAAGUGGUCGUCGCUUUUAUUGGGCCUAAAACGUCCGUAGCCUGUUUGGUAAAUCUGUGGGUAAAUCAAUCCGCUCAACGGAUUGAAUUCUGCAGAGACUGCCAGACUAGGGACCGGGAGAGGUAUGAGGUACUCUCAGGGUAGGGGUAAAAUCCUGUCAUCCUGAGAGGACCACCUGUUGCGAAGGCGUCAUACUGGAACGGAUCCGACGGUCAGGGACGAAGCCUAGGGGCACGAACCGGAUUAGAUACCCGGGUAGUCCUAGGUGUAAACGCUGUGGACUUGGUGUUGGAGAUCCAUCAUGGGUCUUCAGUGCC
rnacentral:rRNA from 1 species